rnacentral:rRNA from 1 species
AUUGAACGCUAGCGGGAUGCCUUACACAUGCAAGUCGAACGGAGUGGCGAACGGGUGAGUAAUGUAUCGGAACGUGCCCAGUAGCGGGGGAUAACUACGCGAAAGCGUAGCUAAUAACGCAUACUAUUGGAGCGGCAGAUAUCGGAGUAGCUAGUUGGUGGGGUAACGGCUCACCAAGGCGACGAUCCGUAGCUGGUUGGAGGGGAUGAACAGCCACACUGGGACUGAGACACGGCCCAGAAUCCUAAUGGAGGCAGCAGUGGGUAAUUUUGGACAAGGGGGGAAACCCUGAUCCAGCCAACCCGGGUGUGCGAUGAAGGCCUGCGGGUUGUAGAGCACGUUUGGCAGGAAAGCGGUACCUGCAGAAUAAGCACCGGCUAACUACGUGCCAGCAGCCGCGGUAAUUC